AUUGAACGCUGGCGGCAGGCCUAACACAUGCAAGUCGAACGAGUGGCGGACGGGUAAGUAAUGUCUGGGAAACUGCCUGAUGGAGGGGGAUAACUACUGGAAACGGUAGCUAAUACCGCAUACCAUCUGCUUUGCCCAGAUGGGAUUAGCUAGUAGGUGGGGUAAAGGCUAACCUAGGCGACGAGCCCUAGCUGGUCUGAGAGGAUGACAAUCCACACUGGAACUGAGACACGGUCCAGACUCCUACGGGAGGCAGCAGUGGGGAAUAUUGCACAAUGGGCGCAAGCCUGAUACAGCCAUGCCGCGUGUAUGAAGAAGGCCGUCGGGUUGUAAAGUACUUUCAGCGGGGAGGCGUUACCCGCAGAAGAAGCACCGGCUAACUCCGUGCCAGCAGCCGCGGUAAUAC
rnacentral:rRNA from 1 species